CAUCAGCUGCUCUGCAGUAUCUGUUUCAUGUGUUUGCUCCUAUCGUGCAGAGUGUAUAAGCUCAACCGUGGAAACUGAGUCCUGUUUCAUUCAGGAUGAAGCUGCCCUGAUUAGCUUCCACUUAUUGUGCAGAAGGCGCAGGCAAAGAAACCUGUCCUGCAGAAGAGCUGAUAUGAGGAAGAAAUAAAUCCCUGUUGAUUAGAACUGAUGCAGUCUACAUAUGUAUGUGUGAGCACCUGCGCAUGUAAUCACAUGCACAGUAACACCAGUCAGCAGAGGUGAAAUGAGUAUAAUUCAGAAACAGGGAUUCAUGGAUAAGAAGUACCUGUGGAUUAUAACUAUCUGGAUUAUCUUGAGUGCAAAUGUUUUAUAGCUUCCAUGGGAGGUUCUGCAAUUCAGACUAACUAAUUAUAUGCCUAAGUACAACUCUAAGUGCCUAACAUUAAGCACCCAUGUGUGAAAAUGAUAGCCCAAAUCUGCUCCAAUGCCUGGCCACCAACUGGCAGAUACAUACAGGCCACUUUGCAUGAACAAUUAAAGCCUUAUGAGAGGCUGAAAUCCUGUGAGCCUGAGCAUGAGCAGGCCCAGAGAUAAAAUGCUUUCAAUGUGCACAACAGAUGGGGGCUUUAGAGUGAGGAGCUGAUAAUCUGUGGAUUAAAGACUCCCUAAUUACACCCUGACACUUCAAAACCAUGCCAGCCCCUGUUGUUUCAGUGAUAUACCACCCUCCAAGUGGAAGAUCCUAAGGAUCCAGCACUCCUUUAAUGCCUCCUGACAUGCUUCAGUGCUGCUACAGUGUCUGUGGCGUUAAUCUACAGAUCUGGGACUCCCUGCAUCCAUACCAGGGUGGCUGUGUGUCACGCUUCCAGGACGAAGCCCAUGUCUAUGUGAAGACCAAGCUGAGCCUCAAUGGAAGAACUAAAAUUAAAAUCUUGUCUUCUCUACCACGAGACCUCAAACCUGUUGCCAGCUUGUGCCAGCUAGAAUACUAAUGUCUGGAUCAUGAAAUUGGACUCAGUGUCAAGCAACAGAUUCAUAAAGCUAGUAAUUUAUGUAUUUUCACUGAACUUCAAAUGGCAUCAAAACACUAUUCAGUUCAGAACUGCUAGGAAAUAUCUACAGUGUGUCUGUUAACUGAUGCCUAUAAUAUAUAUUUGUUUCCCUGUAUCCUAAUAUGUAUUUUAAAUACCAAUUAAUCAAUCUACCAGCUUAUCUAUUUAACUACAUUCUCAUCACCAGUAAUAAUAACAGUGACUAUAAUUCUGAAGUGGAAAUUUGAAAUUUUGAAAGAAACAUUUAAAAAUUGGCUAUGAACUGUUUUUCUGCAUUUUUCCAACCAUCUCUACCAGCAACACUUUACUUUGAUGAUCACCUCUCUCUUUGAAUCAGCUACUGAAUGCAGGUAACUGGUAGAGCUUUACAGUUUCCUGAAGUCCUGAGUGCCGAUACUUUUCUGUAAGUCACCUAUCUGAGACCUUCAGUGAUGUGCGCAGCAUCUUCCUGCCCUUUAUGUUCCUAGCUGGAAAUGAGGAUCUAGCAUCUGUUUUUGAAAAUGGAGACUGACACUGCUCAAUUGAACUUUAGGCUUAAGCACGCAGACAAAGGGUCAUGGGAAACCUGCUCCUGGAAGUGAGGGCAUGAUGUCUAGGAUGUCUUUAGCCCCAUCUAGGACUGGAAGUAAAGCCUCUGUGAGUUGCUUCUAUCGUGGCUGAACACAAUGUAGCAUAAGGGUCAGGGGUCCUAUCUCCUCUCUUUCACAGUGUCCUUUCUUUCCCACUUCUUCAUGUGGCAGUCAAUCUUUCCAUUUGAGAGAGACGCAAGUUUGAACAUAAGCUGCCUACCAAGUCCGGGAAGCACAUUUCUUCUCAGUGGCAUGGGGCUCUCCCAGCCUAGUCUUGAUGCACCGCAAAUGGCCCAUUGCCAAUCCUUAGGGCUUUUAUUGUGUUUAGAUAAAUGUCCAAACAAUGGAAAACUACUGCUGUCCAAAUUGGCUGGCAAAGCGGCAUAGAGAAACCUUUUAAUAUGCAGAAGGAAUGAUAUUUCCUUUUACACAAGCUCUUUGUUUGGCAGCUUUCUGCCCAUGACAGACACAGACAGACACUGAUGACUCAGUCCUUCACUCAACAGACCCUGUUUAAUUGCAGUAGCCUGGGUAAGACCUGAGUCAUGUAGGAAUGAAUACUGCAGGCUUCCUACAUGUUUCUUUAUCUUCUAAACUUGCUGUAGCAGAACUAGCCCCAGAAAUGAAUGGUUGCUUGUAUAAGGCUCACCUGGACAUCCCUCAAUGGCUAGAUCUAGCUGGGUAGAAGAUAAAAGAAUUUGACUCUGACUCCAGAUUUGGUCUUAUUCUUUGCAAAAACACACUUUUGCAUCUGAUCAGCCUCCUGCUUUCA